rnacentral:rRNA from 1 species
AUGAGCGCCGACGACGCCCUCCGUCUGUUCGACGGAAUGCCUCCUGGUAGCGAGGACGAGAGUGCGCCGCUGAUGAGCGCCACCGACCGCAUCGGCGCACUCCCCGACCAUAUUCUCCACCACCUGCUCUCUUUCCUCCCAGCGCAGGCAGCCGUGCGGACGUGCGUGCUUGCCCGGCGCUGGCGCCACCUUUGGAGGUCCACUACAGGCCUGCGCAUCGUCGGCCUUGACGAUGAGGAGCCUGUCCAAGUUCAAGACCUCCGGAAGUUCAUGGAUCAUCUGCUGGUCCUGCGUGAGCGCACCGACCUGGAUACCGUUCAGAUCAAAUUCGAUCUGUUCAAUCAGGAUGACGAGCCCUAUGUGAACCUAUGGACCCGUUUUGCUGUGAUUUGCAAAGUUCAGGUGCUCACCCUUCGUAUCCAUGACGAGCUUGAGUACCUCGACCUAGACGACCUGCCUCUUGUCUCUCGGCAUCUGAGAACACUGAACCUUCAUGGUGUAUCCCUACGAAAGACGUUUGUUGAUUUUGCUAGCUGUACAGCAUUGGCAAAUCUGAAGAUAGAUGAUUGCUUCAUCAAUUUCAAUAAGAUAUCGUCCUGUUCCCUGAAGCAUUUGAGCAUCACUAGCUGUCAAUCUGAUUUGGAUUGCCGGGUCCGUAUUUCUGCUCCCGGCCUUGUCUCUCUGGAACUAGAAGACUUUAUUGGUAUAACCCCUUUGCUUGAAGACAUGGCAUCACUAGAAGCCGCAUGUGUGGAUCUUAGCGUUGAAUGCAAAGAUGUCUGUUUGAAUUAUGGCUCUGGUGUUUUCUGUGGAGCUAAUGAUAAUACAUGUAAGAAUUGUGUUCCUGGUAGUGACGAUUGCAGCAGCGAUUGUGUGCUUCUGGGUGGUAUCUCAAGUGCUAAACACCUCAAGUUGAUAUCUGAUACUGGAAAGUUCAUUUUCACAAGAGAUUUGAAACAUUGCCCUACAUUUAGCAAGUUAAAGACUUUGUUACUCAACAAGUAUUGGUGCGUGGCUCCUGAUUUGGAUCCACUAUCUUGCAUUCUGACAAACUCACCAGUUCUCGAGAAGCUCACUCUUGAACUUUUUCCCAAGGGGCAAAAUCCUAAACUGGAGAUAAAAGGAAGCUACUGUUGCAUGGAGAGACCGUCUGCAAUAUCAGAGCACCUCGACAUAGUUGAAGUCAAGUGUGAUGUGAUCGACGAGAUAAUUCGUAAAGUUUUGAAGUUCUUGUGUGCAUUGAACAUACGAUUCAGUUUCGAGUAA